GAUGAACGCUGGCGGCGUGCCUAAUACAUGCAAGUCGAGCGAACGGACGAGAAGCUUGCUUCUCUGAUGUUAGCGGCGGACGGGUGAGUAACACGUGGAUAACCUACCUAUAAGACUGGGAUAACUUCGGGAAACCGUAGCUAAUACCGGAUAAUAUUUUGAACCGCAUGGUUCAAAAGUGAAAGACGGUCUUGCUGUCACUUAUAGAUGGAUCCGCGCUGCAUUAGCUAGUUGGUAAGGUAACGGCUUACCAAGGCAACGAGGCAUAGCCGACCUGAGAGGGUGAUCGGCCACACUGGAACUGAGCCACGGUCCAGACUCCUACGGGAGGCAGCAGUAGGGAAUCUUCCGCAAUGGGCGAAAGCCUUACGGAGCAACGCCGCGUGAGUGAUGAAGGUCUUCGGAUCGUAAAACUCUGUUAUUAGGGAAGAACAUAUGUGUAAGUAACUGUGCACAUCUUGACGGUACCUAAUCAGAAAGCCACGGCUAACUACGUG
rnacentral:rRNA from 1 species